rnacentral:ncRNA from 2 species
AGGCAGCACUCUGGAGAGAUCCGCAAUACCUGGCAGGAAUGGUAGCGGGCGCCGAAGGUGAACACCCGCAAGCUCGGGUUAACUCUCAGGCAAAAGGACAGAAGGGCGGUG